GACGAACGCUGGCGGCGUGCCUAAUACAUGCAAGUCGAGCGGACUUUCAAGAAGCUUGCUUUUUGAAAGUUAGCGGCGGACGGGUGAGUAACACGUGGGCAACCUGCCUGCAAGACGGGGAUAACUCCGGGAAACCGGGGCUAAUACCGGAUAAUAUCUUCCUUCGCAUGAAGGAAGGUUGAAAGGCGGCGCAAGCUGCCGCUUGCAGAUGGGCCCGCGGCGCAUUAGCUAGUUGGUGAGGUAACGGCUCACCAAGGCGACGAUGCGUAGCCGACCUGAGAGGGUGAUAGGCCACACUGGGACUGAGACACGGCCCAGACUCCUACGGGAGGCAGCAGUAGGGAAUCUUCCGCAAUGGACGAAAGUCUGACGGAGCAACGCCGCGUGAGCGAAGAAGGUCUUCGGAUCGUAAAGCUCGGUUGUCAGGGAAGAACAAGUACCGUUCGAACAGGGCGGUACCUUGACGGUACCUGACCAGAAAGCCACGGCUAACUACGUG
rnacentral:rRNA from 1 species